CGAAAGGUUUCAACACGACCGCGCAGCGCUCUUGAGAGGCAGAGGAAUGCCGAGCGAGGCAUGUGAUUGUCCUCGGAAGAUGGACAAGUGGCAGACGUCCGCAGCUCAGGUGGCAGAAUCUGUUGACGAGACACAUAUUUCCCCCCCCACUGCACAAACACGGCUUAUUAGAACCUACGCUGCACCAUCAUCACCCUGAACACACCAUCCCACGGUGCUGGCAGCCUCGCGCCUCGGACACGUUUCUCUUCAGCACGGACGAAAGACACUGGUCAGAAGUAAGAGAGGAAUGGAUGGAGGUGAAAACAGGACAAUCCUGGAAGAACGUUUAUGAGUGGCGGUGAAACAUGAGACUGAGCGGAGACUCGCCUUCCGCAAACGUUGAGCAAACAGAUAUUCGUCUUUUAACCUCUCAAGAUGAGGCGGCCUCAUCCUCCACCUCCCUGUGUGUGUGUGUGCGUGUGUGUG